rnacentral:misc_RNA from 1 species
GUUGUCUCGAAGUUUUAGGACUUUAAGGGAAGUAAAAUUAACAGAAGAAAUAGAAUAUAUGAAACCAGAUAAAACACAGAAUUCUAAGUACAACUCAGAUAAAAGUGGAAGCUUGUUCAAUGGCUCAAUCCAUUCUCCUCCUACCUUUGAAAGGUCUACAGAAUACAUAUUCAAAUACUUUAGUGAGACAAGACCACUCACCCAUUCAAGAUUAUCAACAUUUGAACUAAAUGAAGAGACAUCAAGAAACUGCAAGCUAGACAGGUUUCCAAGAUUUGGAGGAAUUGCGCCACUAAACCCAGCAAAUGACAAGUUCAAAUAUUGCAAGUUCUCUAAAGAGGAAAAGAAAUGAGGAAUUUUACCACUGAAUUUGUUCCCACUUAAAUCCAGGUAUUUCAAGGACUUAAGUUUUGCGAGUGAAGGUCUAAUCUCCCCACCUAAUGGCUGACGACCUGAUGAAUUUGGGAGAUCAACUGCGAGAACAGCACCAGUUGUAUUGUCACAAGCUAUUCCUGACCAUUGACAGCAAUUGGUUCCAUGCCAUGAGGAGAGCCGAUUCCAGGAAUCAUUAAGACCCAUUUUGAGGUCAAGAAGAGCCUCUCUCUCAGCUGCAUUGCAGUGCACCAAUUGAGCAAACCCACCCCAAAUUAAUUCUCCGGAUAACAGACAGAUAAUCCAAAGAAAUGGAAAGGUCUCCAUAGAUCAAACACUCAAUGCCCUGAAAGUCCAGCAAAAGCAAGGGGAUCAACAGGAACCCCCACACCCUCCACUGCAUAAGGCAAUACAUUUCCAAGGUCA